rnacentral:rRNA from 1 species
GGGAAUCUACCCAUUUCUGCGGAAUAGCUCUGGGAAACUGGAAUUAAUACCGCAUACGCCCUACGGGGGAAAGAUUUAUCGGGGAUGGAUGAGCCCGCGUUGGAUUAGCUAGUUGGUGGGGUAAAGGCCUACCAAGGCGACGAUCCAUAGCUGGUCUGAGAGGAUGAUCAGCCACAUUGGGACUGAGACACGGCCCAAACUCCUACGGGAGGCAGCAGUGGGGAAUAUUGGACAAUGGGCACAAGCCUGAUCCAGCCAUGCCGCGUGAGUGAUGAAGGCCUUAGGGUUGUAAAGCUCUUUCACCGGUGAAGAUAAUGACGGUAACCGGAGAAGAAGCCCCGGCUAACUUCGUGCCAGCAGCCGCGGUAAUACGAAGGGGGCUAGCGUUGUUCGGAAUUACUGGGCGUAAAGCGCACGUAGGCGGAUAUUUAAGUCAGGGGUGAAAUCCCAGAGCUCAACUCUGGAACUGCCUUUGAUACUGGGUAUCUUGAGUAUGGAAGAGGUAAGUGGAAUUGCGAGU